UACGUAGGGUGCAAGCAUUAAUCGGAAUUACUGGGCGUAAAGCGUGCGCAGGCGGUUUUCCAAGACAGAUGUGAAAUCCCCGGGCUCAACCUGGGAAUGGCAUUUGUGACUGGAAGGCUAGAGUGUGUCAGAGGGGGGUAGAAUUCCACGUGUAGCAGUGAAAUGCGUAGAGAUGUGGAGGAAUACCGAUGGCGAAGGCAGCCCCCUGGGAUAACACUGACGCUCAUGCACGAAAGCGUGGGGAGCAAACAGG
rnacentral:rRNA from 1 species